GAUGAACGCUGGCGGCGUGCCUAAUACAUGCAAGUCGAGCGAACAGACGAGGAGCUUGCUCCUCUGACGUUAGCGGCGGACGGGUGAGUAACACGUGGAUAACCUACCUAUAAGACUGGGAUAACUUCGGGAAACCGGAGCUAAUACCGGAUAAUAUAUUGAACCGCAUGGUUCAAUAGUGAAAGACGGUUUUGCUGUCACUUAUAGAUGGAUCCGCGCCGCAUUAGCUAGUUGGUAAGGUAACGGCUUACCAAGGCGACGAUGCGUAGCCGACCUGAGAGGGUGAUCGGCCACACUGGAACUGAGACACGGUCCAGACUCCUACGGGAGGCCGCAGUAGGGAAUCUUCCGCAAAGGGCGAAAGCCUGACGGAGCAACGCCGCGUGAGUGAUGAAGGUCUUCGGAUCGUAAAACUCUGUUAUUAGGGAAGAACAAAUGUGUAAGUAACUAUGCACGUCUUGACGGUACCUAAUCAGAAAGCCACGGCUAACUACGUG
rnacentral:rRNA from 1 species